UUUUCUGUUCUGUUGUAAUUUUAUGUGUUGUCCUCUUUUGGAUUAAACUCUGCAAUUCUGUAAUGACAACACGCAUUGCUGUUUUCUUCUGAGUGACUACACGUGGCCGUUGCGAGAGGACCCGGGAUAAUAAAGGAAGAGAGAGAGCCAAACUUUUUCCAAAAUUAACUAAUUCAGAGAAAUCUUCCUUAACAAUUUCUAGUGUUGGUGUUGUAUGUUAAAAAUACAGUGUUAAUUAAACACUUGUUUAGUCAAAUUCAAAGAUAGGUUUGUCAGUUUCCCUAAAGAGAUGUGGAUCCGGUGUUAUGCCCAGAAACUCAUGCCUGCCCAAAAUUGCAUCCCCUCUCGCAGGAGCGCGCAUCGCUCUAAAGUCUCGCAUAUUGACGAGAAACCGGACUGAAAUAUGACCGAAGAGGAAAUUUAAAUUUAUUUGUAACAUUAUCACGUUUCUUAACCAUGUAAUCCCUAAAAUGGUGGGUUUUAUUUCGCAAAUUACUUGAAAUAAAUACGGUUUUUACACCUUU